rnacentral:rRNA from 1 species
AAUUUAAUGAAAAAUUUUAUUUUUUUUUAAAAAAAUAAAUAAAUUUAAGAUUAAAUUAAAUUUAUUAAUUAAUUUUAAAAAUUUAAAUUAAUUGAUGUUAAAAAUUUUAUUUAAAAACUAGGAUUAGAUACCCUACUAUAAAAAUAUAAAUUCAUAAUUAAAAUAUUAAAUAUUAAAUUACUAAAUUUAAAAAAAUUGACGGUAUUUUUUUUUUAUUAAAGAAACUUAAAAUUUAAAUUGAUAAUCAACAUUAUAAUAAACUAAAUUCAUAUUUUUAUAUAUUACGGUUUAAAUUUAAUUUUAUAAUUAUUAUUAAAAUUUAUACUAAUAAAAUAUUUCAAGUCAAAAUAUAAAUAUAAUUUAAAAAUUUAGAGUUACCUUAAAUUUUAAAAUAAUUUAUUUAUUUUUAAAUAAAUUUAAAUUUAGAAUUUAAUAAUAAAUUUUUAAAAUUUUAAAAAUUAAAAUUUUCUAA